CAGAACGUGGAAGAAAAAAAAAUAAAAGAACACAAACUCACCUAAAGCUUGAGGAGGAGCAGGAGAUUGUCAGCGGCAAUACUAGUACUACAUCAUGAGUUCUACGGCCCAAGGUAGCAAUUAUAUGGGGCGUGCUAGGCCUAACAAAAGCGAGAAAUCAAGACGUUGUUAGUUGACGAAAGAGGAAGAGAUCAUUCUUGCAUCGUGAUAAACAUGCAUUUUUACCUCUUGGUGUAUCAUUUUUUAUGCUUAGUUGUGAGGAUUUUGUGUGUUUGAUGGUCUAUUAGAGCUUAUAUUCGUUUA